rnacentral:lncRNA from 1 species
AUGAAUCAAGAAUUGCUUCUAGCUGAAGAAAGAGAUAGAAGUGCUUAUUAAGCAAGGUUUCCUCAAAGCCUAUGUCUGCCACCCAUAGGACUAAAAGGCCUUUGGUCAGUAGCAGCUUGCCCCCAAGCUCCUACUCGACAACCACCAAUUGUUGGUGUCAUUAACCUCAUAGUGGGUGGACCAACAGUAGUGACACCAACUCAUCUACAAGGAGGAUCUAUGCUCAUGCAGCCCAAACUAGGAGCCCAACACCGAAAAGGCAG